AAAAUGUAAUAGCUAACUUUACUUAAAAAUAAAUAGUUAUCAUAACUAGUUGCUCCAUAAUUUGUUGACUCUACUAGCUUACAAUAAGUUGACACAGCAUUUUGGUGAGGAGAGUAAUUAAACUGAUCAUACUUCAGUAACCUUUACUUGAGAAGUAUGAGUGUCUCCACACCCUCCCAACAGUUGGUGGCGGUAAUGCACCAUGCUGGAUGCCAACCGCCAAUACAAAUCAACGAAGAAGAGAUUGCACAUGCGCAGUUCCUCCUGAGACGUUGGAUUUGAACCAUCACGCGGCAAAAGAACGUUUGUCUGGAUUUGGUUUGAAGCGUUAAUGCAGAGACUGCCAAGCAGGAAGUGCACUUCACGCUCCCGCUCAAGGUUUGUAACUUACUGUUAAUGUGCUCCAAUAUUAAAGGUGGGAUAUAUUUUUCUAUUGAAAGGGCAUUUGGUAUUUUUGUGAUUUUAAAAUAAUUAAGGUUAUUUAUUUAACAUUUUGGCCCAAGCAGAAAAUUAAGGGCACCUCAACUCAGCCUGCAAUUAUUUAAAAUUUUCCCAAAAUAACUGCAUUACUGAAAAAUACUAGAUACUAAACCUAAAUUAAUGAAACUUUCAGAAUAGAAAGUUAUGAUAUGAACCAAAUAAUUAUAAAACCCCCUUGACUAAUUCUAAGCAUAAAAUACAUAACUUACAUAUACAAUUUGUUAUAUUCAGAUAGCCUGUUGUAAUGGAAUGAGUAGCAGGGCAAUAUACAUACAUGUAUCCUUUAUGCCUUACAAGCAAGCGUUAAUUAGAGCUGAUUGGAUGCAGAAGUUGCAGUAAUAUAUUCAUUUUCGAGGCUUGUGUAAUACUAGUUUUCUGGCCAGUGUGACCUAGUGAUUUGUUAUUAAAACGCAUCCAAAAUGACUUCAUUAAAUGCUCAUUUGUCUGUUUCUUUAGGUUCUGUCAGAGUUCUUUCGCUUGACCAGCAAAAACCUCAAAAUCGAGUUUUUCAAAGAACUGGACAAAUACACUCCUCGCUGUCUUGACAUUUUCAAGUCCAAGGGUGGAUGUACCGGCCAGAUACUUAAGGCGUAUUUGCAUCAUCAAAUCGCACUGGGGAAUACAGAUGUUACUGCUUAGUGAACAGCAGUCCUCCGUGGCCUUCCCAUCCUCCUUGGAGAUGAGAACAAAGACUUCUUCAAGACAUACUUUGACUGUGAUGAACCGGAACUGGCCAACACCUCCAUUGAGAUCCUAACAGUAAUCCCGGAAGGUACCCCACCUCAAGGAACACACCAACAUUUUGGGUUUUUAGCUUAUUCA